rnacentral:rRNA from 1 species
UGGGGAAUUUUGCGCAAUGGACGAAAGUCUGACGCAGCAACGCCGCGUGGGUGAUGAAGGUCUUCGGAUUGUAAAACCCUGUCGUCAGGGACGAAGGUAGGGAACCUAAUACGUUUUCUGCUUGACGGUACCUGGAGAGGAAGCCCCGGCUAACUCUGUGCCAGCAGCCGCGGUAAUACAGAGGGGGCAAGCGUUAUUCGGAAUUAUUGGGCGUAAAGGGCGCGUAGGCGGUUUUGUAAGUAGGAUGUGUAAUCCCCGAGCUCAACUUGGGAACUGCAUCCUAGACUGCAAGGCUAGAGUGCUGGAGAGGGUGGUAGAAUUCCACGUGUAGCGGUGAAAUGCGUAGAGAUGUGGAGGAAUACCAGUGGCGAAGGCGGCCACCUGGACAGCAACUGACGCUGAGGCGCGAAAGUGUGGGGAGCAAACAGG